rnacentral:rRNA from 1 species
UACGUAGGGUGCGAGCGUUAAUCGGAAUUACUGGGCGUAAAGCGUGCGCAGGCGGCUUCGCAAGUCAGACGUGAAAGCCCCGGGCUUAACCUGGGAAUGGCGUUUGAAACUACGGAGCUCGAGUGUGGCAGAGGGAGGUAGAAUUCCACGUGUAGCAGUGAAAUGCGUAGAUAUGUGGAGGAAUACCGAUGGCGAAGGCAGCCUCCUGGGCCAACACUGACGCUCAUGCACGAAAGCGUGGGGAGCAAACAGG